CCGUGAUGAACUAACCGUCUGUCGCUGGGAAGAAGCUUAACUUGGGGGAAACUGCCACGAAAAUAAAACUUUAAUCUAAGUUUGCCUUUCUUUAAUUUUGUUAUUUUAGAAAUUUAAAUUAUUAAUUUAAUUUUUUCCUAGUCCCUUAUCCUAAAGAUGAGGAGACAUAGGUAGGUAGUUUUUAUUUAUAUAUUUUUAUUUUAGUAUACUAAAAUAUCAAUUAUUAAAGAAAGGCAAACCACUGGAUUAAAGCUUUUAUUGUAGCGGUAGUCCCAUUUAAGUAACAGCCUCAAAAGUCAUAGCAAGGUAGAUUGUACUGGAA
rnacentral:rRNA from 1 species